rnacentral:rRNA from 1 species
CAAGUCGAGCGAACAGACGAGGAGCUUGCUCCUCUGACGUUAGCGGCGGACGGGUGAGUAACACGUGGGUAACCUACCUAUAAGACUGGGAUAACUCCGGGAAACCGGGGCUAAUACCGGAUAACACAUGAAACCGCAUGGUUUCAUGAUGAAAGACGGUUUUGCUGUCACUUAUAGAUGGACCCGCGGCGUAUUAGCUAGUUGGUAAGGUAACGGCUUACCAAGGCAACGAUACGUAGCCGACCUGAGAGGGUGAUCGGCCACACUGGAACUGAGACACGGUCCAGACUCCUACGGGAGGCAGCAGUAGGGAAUCUUCCGCAAUGGGCGAAAGCCUGACGGAGCAACGCCGCGUGAGUGAUGAAGGUCUUCGGAUCGUAAAACUCUGUUAUUAGGGAAGAACAAGGAUGUAAGUAACUAUGCAUCCCUUGACGGUACCUAAUCAGAAAGCCACGGCUAACUACGUGCCAGCAGCCGCGGUAAUACGUAGGUGGCAAGCGUUAUCCGGAAUUAUUGGGCGUAAAGCGCGCGUAGGCGGUUUUUUAAGUCUGAUGUGAAAGCCCACGGCUCAACCGUGGAGGGUCAUUGGAAACUGGAAAACUUGAGUGCAGAAGAGGAAAGUGGAAUUCCAUGUGUAGCGGUGAAAUGCGCAGAGAUAUGGAGGAACACCAGUGGCGAAGGCGACUUUCUGGUCUGCAACUGACGCUGAUGUGCGAA